CAUUUCCCCCCAUUUUCUUCCCAACCCCAUUUUCUCCCCCCAACCGGCACAUUGGUUCUCCCCCAUCGGCGCCGGCGUGACUCCUCCCUCCCACCGUGCGUCUCCCCACCGUCACCGCCGCCAACGAACCCGUCUAUGAGCUCCCGCCGGUUCUAGUUCUCCUCCAUGAGACUUUUCUUCCCAAACCGGUGUUCAGCAUAUCAUUACUCCAACAACCCAUGCUAUCCCUUCACCUUCAGCUCUCUCCCCAACACCAUUACAGCUCUGCUCUCUCUCCCCCACCCCACGCCUUUGGCUUCCGGCGAGGCCCACGCCGCCGCCGACCUACUGCACCAGAUAGGAGCCGCCGUCCAUUAUCCGAUUGGCCCAAACCCGACGAACGCUCAGCAGCACCCAACGCCACCACCAACGACCGGCACCACCCCCAUCGACGACCCACCAUCCAACCAGAAAAGAAGUUUUUUUUUUAAUUUCAUCUGGUAUGCUUUGGAGAAGAAAUUGGACACAUGCUUGAUUGUAAUUGAGGAGGGUUGCAGAGACAUGGUAGUUGAGGAAGGGUGGGGAGAGUUCCAGAGUAAUGGUUUUUUUCAGGGAUGAGGUUGAAGCUGUGGAUUGUGCCCUGCAGUGCAUAUAUAUGUCCACAGAAACAGAUAGGUGGAGUACCAUGGCUGCCAUAUUUUCAAAGCUUCCACAAAUACAAGGUUGUUGUUUUGGAAGUGGUAUUUAUGGGGAUGAAGGCAAUGAGCCUCUAUGGAAAUUUUACUUUUCAUCAUCUAGUCGGUUGGCCAGAAGAUGGUUUUGUUUAUGCUUUGAAGAUUGCAUACUUAUUUGCCUAUUUUGUUUCCUUAGAUUCUUAAUUCUCCUGUCUUACGGGAAAUAAAUGGUGUUAUAUGUAUUCGUUGGUAAGAUGCUUGUUAAAAUGCCUGAGUGAGAUACUUGUUUAUAAUUGCUUCAAAAAAGAGAAAUUGCAAAAGGUCACUCUACAGUAGAAAUUGCAAAAAAGAGAAAUUCCACAUACAUGUAGAAAUUCCAAAAAAGAGACUGGACUUAUUAUGUCUAUAAUUUAUGUUCAUGAGAAAUUUGUAGUAUUUUGUGGAAUUGAUGUCUAUGUUGUUUUUGGUAGGUGGACUCCAAGUUUGAGACUAUAGUUAGUUGUUGGUUGUGUAUAAAUUAAAUUUCCAAUUUGAUGUUAGGCUUACAUCUAUUGUUGUCAUUGAACCUGUAUCAUUUUGCAUUGGUGUCGUUCAGAUAAUUAUGAAGCAUUUCUUGUGACCUGCUUAGAGCUUGGUGGGCGCUUAUGUUCGAUUACAAUCAUGGAUGUGUUUUAGGAAUUAAAUGAUCUUUAGGAGUGAAGUCAUUAUGUUAUCUGUUUCUGUACUAAUUGGCUAUUGAUCUAUGGAACUGAAAUUCUGGUAUAACUUGAAAACUGAUGUACACAUAAUCUGUCCAUAAUUACUUUGGAGUAACUCUAUAAACUAUGAUAAUUCGCCUUGAAAUUUAUAUAUGACAAAAAGUGAGUUGCUAAUAUGGAAGAGCGGGAGAAUCCUCUAUCCAAGUUUAUCUAAGUACUUGAAACAUCCAUGCUGAUCAUUGGUCAUUCCCAGUCUUAUUGUUUGUGAACAUGUUUUGCAGCACAUCUAAACCAUUUAAUGGAGUUCUACAGCAAGAAAAACUACAGCUGGAUCAAAACUUCCUUGGCUGUAGGUCUCCAGCUUGGCUACAAUGUAAUCUUUGGGUCAUAUGCAUCUUUCCUCCUCAUUCGAACCGGGAAAAGCACACUGGCAUGCUCAUUAAGUAGAGAACUGCAUUCUAGGGGAAAGCUGUCCUAUGUCCUUGAUGGAGAUAACCUUCGGCAUGGACUAAACAAGGACCUUAGUUUCAAAUUAGAAGAUUGAACUGAAAACAUACUUUUGAGUUGAUUAAGAGUCUUCUAGGAACAAAUGUUGAGUGGCUCUACUAUAUUCUUCAGGCAUUCAACUCUGGUGAUUUAGUUCGUUAUCAGGACCUAUGUCAUGUGCACAAUGCUGCUCUGAGGGCUCAGCCAUCUUUAGUUGAGAAUGAGAAAAAGCUGGUGGAAAAGAUAAAUAUUAUCUGCUUGAUGGAAAUUAUUUUCAGCCGGUCAUCUGAUGAUCGAACUAUACCUUUGAGUAUCAUUGCAGAGCGCACAAAACUUUCUAUCGAGGAGGUGGAGCAUCUUCUUAUGAAGAGCCUUUUUGUUCAUCUGAUCGAGGGCAUAAUUGAUCAAAUUGAGGGAACAGUGCAUGUAUCCUGGGUGCAGCCAAGAGUAUUGGGGAUUCCACAGAUCACAUCCUUGCGCGAUCGUCUGGACAAUUGGUUGAAAAAAGUGAACACUGCCUUGAAAUCCAUCGAGGCAGAAACACCUGAUCUUGUUCCCCCCCCCCCUUUGAUUUGCCUCUGCCCAUUGUAACAAUUCAUUAACAUACAAGGGAAAAAAAAUUGGAAAGUCGACCCAAAAAAAAAAUUUAAUAGAGACUCGUCUUUUAAGUUGCAUGGGCAGUAUGGCCAGCUGUAUGCUUCCUUUCUUAUUGCCUAUUUUUGUUGAAUCCUGCUUCUUGAAAGGAGCAGCCUCUUGUGCUUCAUGAAGUCAUCGGUUCCAUAGUGGCAUCCCUAGAGUCAAAUGAAAAACGGUUGUUUUACGCUUUAGAGUGGUUUUUUACACUAUGUAUUUGAAAUUUUUCUUACACAAUCAGAUGUGAUUCUCUUAUUGUUGUUA